rnacentral:rRNA from 1 species
UACGGAGGGUGCAAGCGUUGUCCGGAUUUAUUGGGUUUAAAGGGUGCGUAGGUGACUUGUUAAGUCCGGGGUGGAAAGCCCACAGCUCAACUGUGGAACUGCCCUGGAUACUGGCGAGCUUGAGUCCAGACGAGGUUGGCGGAAUGGAUGCUGUAGCGGUGAAAUGCAUAGAUAGCAUCCAGAACCCCGAUUGCGUAGGCAGCUGACUAGGCUGGUACUGACACUGAGGCACGAAAGCGUGGGGAGCGAACAGG